GAUGAACGCUGGCGGCGUGCCUAAUACAUGCAAGUCGAGCGAAGCGAGGACGGGUGAGUAACACGUAGAUAACCUCCUAUAAGACUGGGAUAACCUCGGGAAACCGGAACUAAACCGGAUACUGUAAGAUGGAUCCGCGCUGCAUUAUCUAGGUGGUAAGGUAACGGCUUACCAAGUCAAUGAUGCAUAGCCGACCUGAGCGGAUGAUCGGCCACACUGGAACUGAGACACGGUCCAGACUCCUACGGGAGGCAGCAGUAGGGAAUCUUCCGCAAUGGGCGAAAGCCUGACGGAGCAACGCCGAGUGAGUGAUGAAGGUCUUCGGAUCGUAAAGCUCUGUUAUUAGGGAAGCGGUACCUAAUCAGAAAGCCACGGCUAACUCCGUGCCAGCAGCCGCGGUAAUAC
rnacentral:rRNA from 1 species